AUUGAACGCUGGCGGCAUGCUUUACACAUGCAAGUCGAACGGCAGCGCGGGCUUCGGCCUGGCGGCGAGUGGCGAACGGGCGAGUAAUAUAUCGGAACGUACCCAGGAGUGGGGGAUAACGUAGCGAAAGUUACGCUAAUACCGCAUACGUCCUAAGGGAGAAAGCGGGGGAUCGCAAGACCUCGUGCUCAUGGAGCGGCCGAUAUCUGAUUAGCUAGUUGGUGGGGUAAAGGCUCACCAAGGCAACGAUCAGUAGCUGGUCUUGAGAGGACGACCAGCCACACUGGAACUGAGACACGGUCCAGACUCCUACGGGAGGCAGCAGUGGGGAAUUUUGGACAAUGGGGGCAACCCUGAUCCAGCAAUGCCGCGUGAGUGAAGAAGGCCUUCGGGUUGUAAAGCUCUUUUGUCAGGGAAGAAACGACUCCUUCUAAUACAGGGGGUUAAUGACGGUACCUGAAGAAUAAGCACCGGCUAACUACGUGCCAGCAGCCGCCGCAGUAA
rnacentral:rRNA from 1 species